GAGGGUAUAGCUCAGUGGUACAGCUCAUGCUUAGCAUGCAUGAGGUUCUGGGUUCAAUCCCCAGUACCCCUA
rnacentral:tRNA from 1 species